UACAGAGGGUGCAAGCGUUAAUCGGAAUUACUGGGCGUAAAGCGUGCGUAGACGGUUAUGUAAGUCGGGUGUGAAAGCCCCGGGCUCAACCUGGGAAUUACAUUCGAGACUGUGUAGCUAGGGUACGGAAGAGGGAAGCGGAAUUUCAGGUGUAGCGGUGAAAUGCGUAGAUAUCUGAAGGAACACCAGUGGCGAAAGCGGCUUCCUGGUCCAGUACCGACGUUCAGGCACGAAAGCGUGGGGAGCAAACAGG
rnacentral:rRNA from 1 species